AGAGUUUGAUCCUGGCUCAGAUUGAACGCUGGCGGCAUGCCUAACACAUGCAAGUCGAACGGUAACAUUGGAGCUUGCUCCAGAUGACGAGUGGCGGACGGGUGAGUAACGCGUAGGAAUCUGCCUAUUAGUGGGGGACAACUUGGGGAAACUCAAGCUAAUACCGCAUACGCCCUAAGGGGGAGAGCAGGGGAUCUUCGGACCUUGCACUAUUGGAUGAGCCUAUGUCAGAUUAGCUUGUUGGUGGGGUAACGGCCUACCAAGGCGACGAUCUGUAGCUGGUCUGAGAGGACGAUCAGCCACACUGGGACUGAGACACGGCCCAGACUCCUACGGGAGGCAGCAGUGGGGAAUAUUGCACAAUGGGCGAAAGCCUGAUGCAGCAAUGCCGCGUGUGUGAANAAGGNCUGCGGGUUGUAAAGCACUUUCAGUAGGGAGGAAACAGUUGCGGGUUAAUAUCCCGUGACCUUGAC
rnacentral:rRNA from 1 species